rnacentral:rRNA from 1 species
GAUGAACGCUAGCGGCAGGCCUAACACAUGCAAGUCAGGGGUAACAUAGAAAAGCUUGCUUUUCUGAUGCCGACCGGCGCACGGGUGCGUAACGCGUAUACAACCUACCUUUUAGCGGGGAAUAGCCCAGGGAAACUUGGAUUAAUGCCCCAUAGUAUAUAGACUUCUCCUGAAGUUUAUAUUAAACAUUUAUGGCUAUUAGAUGGGUAUGCGUCCUAUUAGUUAGUUGGUAAGGUAACGGCUUACCAAGGCAGCGAUAGGUAGGGGUCCUGAGAGGGAGAUCCCCACACUGGUACUGAGACACGGACCAGACUCCUACGGGAGGCAGCAGUGAGGAAUAUUGGACAAUGGGCGAGAGCCUGAUCCAGCCAUGCCGCGUGCAGGAAGACUGCCCUAUGGGUUGUAAACUGCUUUUACAGAGGAAGAACCACCCCCACGUGUGGGGGUUUGACGGUACUCUGCGAAUAAGGAUCGGCUAACUCCGUG